rnacentral:rRNA from 1 species
CGGUUGAUCCUGCCGGACCCUACCGCUAUCGGGGUGGGACUAAAACAUGCGAGUCGAGCGUCUCCCAAGCUGUUGUGGAGGCGCGGCGCACAGCUCAGUAACACGUGGCCAACCUGCCCUUGGGAAAGGAAUACCCUCGGGAAACCGGGGGUGAUUCCUUAUAGGACAAGAGCGCUGGAAUGCCUCUUGUCCGAAAAGGCGUUAGAGGCAUGCUCUCUAACGCCGCCCAAGGAUGGGGCCGCGUCCGAUCAGGUUGUUGGUGAGGUAACGGCUCACCAAGCCUAUAACCGGUACGGGCCGUGAGAGCGGGAGCCCGGAGAUGGGCACUGAGAUAAGGGCCCAGGCCCUACGGGGCGCAGCAGUUGCGAAAACUCGCCAACGCACGAAAGUGUGAGCGGGCUACCCCGAGUGCCGUCCGCUGAGGAUGGCUUUUCUCCGCUGUAAGGAGGCGGAGGAAUAAGGAGAGGGCAAGACUGGUGUCAGCCGCCGCGGUAAUACCAGCUCUCCGAGUGGUAGGGGUGAUUAUUGGGCUUAAAGCGUCCGUAGCCGGCCUAGCAAGUCUUUCGUUAAAUCCAGCAACCUAAUUGUUGGGCUGCGGAGGAUACUGUUAGGCUAGGGGGCGGGAGAGGUCGACGGUAUUCUCGGGGUAGGGGUGAAAUCUUAUAAUCCCGGGAGGACCACCAGUGGCGAAGGCUGUCGGCUAGCACGCGCCCGACGGUGAGGGACGAAAGCUGGGGGAGCGAACCGGAUUAGAUACCCGGGUAGUCCCAGCUGUAAACGAUGCGGGCUAGGUGUUGGGGCGGCUACGAGCCGCUCCAGUGCCGCAGCGAAGGCGUUAAGCCCGCCGCCUGGGGAGUACGGCCGCAAGGCUGAAACUUAAAGGAAUUGGCGGGGGAGCAC